AAAAAAAAAGGAAGAAGAAGAAGAAAACACAAAACUUAUAUUUAAUAAAAAUAGAAAAUAAAUGGAAAAUGGAAAACAACAAACAACCAAAAGUAGUAGUUUUAUUUAAAUAAAACACAAGACCGGAUUAGAGGAGAGUGAAGAGUUUCCACCUGGUAUCAGUAUAGUAAUGUGGUAGAGUUUAUUUGCUAGCUAUGGAAUUUAAAAUUGAAAUU
rnacentral:lncRNA from 1 species